UGAAGACCUCUACCUUGAUAACAGCUUUAAGUCUCUGCAGCUUCUUUUCAGGCUCGACUUCUGUCCCGGUUUCUGUGUAGGUCCAGCCUGGUGAAAAUGCCACAUUGACGUGCGCCAACAUUUCCAAAUAUGACACCAUGACAUACUGGUUCAGACUGGUGAACAGAACUGAGGUCAGCUGUGUUGCCGUGUUGAUCAAUUCUUACAGCAAGGUUUUCUACUGUGAUGGAGUUCAAAAAUCUAAAUUUGAGAUGACAUCCAACACCUCCAACCUCUUUCUCGAAAUCAAACAAGUGGAUGUAUCUGACUCUGGACUUUACUUCUGUGGGUUUUACAUAGCUGGGAUUCCAUAUUUCAGCACGGCACGUUUGAGCAUUACAGGGCCUUUGUGCAGGUGUGUUGCAGGUCUUACGAU